GGCUUGGCCUCCACUCUCUCCGCCAACACCAUUGGGUCUCUAUAAGCACGUGUGCAACUUCUGGUGAGAGUCUCUAUGAAGGGCUAGACUGGCUCUCCAACAAUAUCGCUAACAAGGCGUGAGCAGUUAUGAAUUCUGUUAGUGUUUUGUUUGGAUUGCAGGCGUAAAUGUCAUCUGAGCUUUUUUUUUAAUGUAAGGGAAUUGUGGUUGUGAUGAAAUUGGA